CUGGAUCCAGGACUCUGCGCAGGCUGCAGCCCCACCCAUAUGGAAAGAACUGGUGACUGGAGCUGGGGUGAGGGCUGGUGAACACACAGUCUCCAGGUCCCUCCAUCUUCCACACCUCUCACCAUUACAUUGAGCCAGGAGAAGGUGGAUCCCAGUAUCUCGACAUCGGCUGGCCAGCUGCAGAGCAUCUGCAAAAGUGACACCACUGCAGUCUAGGACCACCACUCUGACAGGCUCAGCAACUAGGACGGGAGAAGGCAGAAGUACCCAGAUGCCUCCAUGAAUCACGCCCACAUCUACCUCCUUGUCAUGUCAUCUCACCUGCAUUAGGUGGGCUAUCUGUCUUUGGCAUCUCCUAUGAGUAGAGGGCAGUCACUACUUUGAGACACAAGCAUGAAUGUGCACCCCUUGAGCACAAUGA